GUAUCGCUGGAAAGUCUUUAAGAGUUGGAUUUGUCUUUACAAGCCAGGUAACUGAAGCAGCUGUUUAGGAAACGUCAUAGGAGUGGUCAGGGAGCCAAGAAGGCUCGGAAGAGAACCUAUGUCCUGCUUGUCAUUCAUUCCAUUGAAGCAUUAGCAGCCGAAGGCAUUGUCAAGUAAUCUACAGAGAAUAAUGAGGCCUUGGGGAUGAGAUCACGAGAGUAGCUUACCCUAUUCAAACUGUUUCUUGUACCAUUGACUUGUGGGCGUGUAUCCCUUUGACUUGGUAUGGGCUCAUGUUUGGGCUUGAUCCAUUGGCCCAUAUCAUGGGGCUGUUCAAUUUGGGCCAGCUGGGUAGACAUCUGAUAUAUUAGAAGUAACAAUUUUGUGCUUGAGUAAUUUCAAUUGUAAUCGUGGGCUUGAAGCAGGAGGACCAGUGCAAGAAACAAAAUUAAAAGGAGCAGCAGUGAAGGCUAUAGAUAGAACGGGAAGGGUGUGUUUGUGUUUUAACCUUUCUUUUCUUUUAAGCCGAAGAGGUCCGGACUGUUGGUAACCUAUUUUUUCAGUUCUCUGUUCUUUCCUCUCGAGCGAACAUGGACUUGUGCAUACAUACUAAUCGAGAAUGGUUGUUCAGAAACUCGUAGUUGGGAAUGGGCUUUUGGAUCAUCUGUGAGCCGAAAGUAGUAAAAUAUGCUUGUUAGCCAUAGAUUCUAUGGCCGAACGCUUCCUGCUACAGUAUAUGAUCCAUAAAAAUAAACGAGAAACAUGCAGGCUGCAGCAUAUUCUCUAUUCAUGUUUUGCACAAAAGUCGCACAAGUUGGCCACACAUGUCAUUACUCUCAUUUACUCCACACAGAAAAAGACACCAUGAUGCCGACUAAACACGUUCUAAGUGGCCACAACGAGGGGUUGAAAACUACUGACAGAUUCUUUUUGAACGGUCUGAAAGAAAGUGCAUUUAUUUAAAUAAAUCAAGUCUCACUCCAAUCUCAAGAAACUCCUCCCACCUCCUGCAGGAUUCCCUUCCCAUGAUAUAUCAAUUCCUCAUUUGAGAACUUUUUCAACUCUUGAAGAUUUCUCCUUCCGAUCUCUUCUGCCCGGAUCCAUUGAAUGGCAGUAUCGCUAGCGCCAGUUUGGUGGAGAAAUGGAAGUGAUGGAUGCUGGAAAAUCACUGAAAGUAUGGCGUAUAACAUCGGCAGCUCAAUCCCAAACUUUUGGACUUUUGGAAUUGAUGGUCUUUGGAAUGGAUGGUUUUGGGAAAAGUUUUUGUUAUUUAGUUGGAUGCAGAACAGAGCUGGGAGUUGUUCUGCAACGACAAAAUCCCUGGAGGUUGAUGGCCGUGAGGACAUGACAAUAGAGGAAUCCUACUCCUACAGGGAACAAGUUUUGAAGAGUGAAGGUUUUGACAUUAAUGUACUCACAGCUUGCAAUCGACGAAUACAACCAUCGCUUCAAUGAUGCAAAUGUAGAGUUGAGUUUAUGAAGGUUUUAUACCCUUGAGGCUAGAGAUCUUGCUGAUGGUGGCAAGACUAAGACCUACCAAGCUGUGGUAUUAUUAGAAGUACGCUAUAAGAUUACAUUGUCAUCCUUUAAGAUAAAACCUACCGAAGAUGAGAAAGGUUACAGUCACAAAAAAGAAUGGUUUUGGGAAGAUACUAGGAAAUGUCAUAUACUUAAGAGUUUGAUCAGAAGAUUUUUUAGAGGUUCAAGCUUAUGGAGUUUAAGAAGUUGUUUGAAAUAUGACUUACACAAGCUAAAUGAAAUGGAAAGUGUUACCUUAAGUGUUUAUUUAGUCUUGGAAUGCUAACAUACUAUUGCAGUCAUGGGAAAGAAAGGUUUUGGGAAGAUUAUCUUUGCAAUGGUCAUAUACUUGGAGUUUGAUCAGAAGAUUUGGUGUCAAGCUUAUUGAGUUUAAGAAGGUUGUUUGAAAUAUGACUUGUAAAAGUUAAAUGGAAAGUAGUACCUUUGGUGGUUAUUUAGUCUUGGAAUGUUGGUAUACAGUUGCUUGCUUAAUUGUGUUUGAAAAACUGCUGUAUUCUAUGCGGGCAGCUGCAAUGUAUGGUAACUCUCUUCCAUGAGAUUAUGGAACGUGCUUUUGUCAAAAAAAUAAAAAAUCAUGACUUAUCAAA